rnacentral:rRNA from 1 species
AGUGAACGCUGGCGGUAGGCCUAACACAUGCAAGUCGAACGGCAGCACAGUAAGAGCUUGCUCUUACGGGUGGCGAGUGGCGGACGGGGGAGGAAGACAGCGGAAGCUACUUUUUCGUGGGGGAUAACGUAGGGAAACUUACGCUAAUACCGCAUACGACCUACGGGUGAAAGCAGGGGAUCUUCGGACCUUGCGCGAUUGAAUGAGCCGAUGUCGGAUUAGCUAGUUGGCGGGGUAAAGGCCCACCAAGGCGACGAUCCGUAGCUGGUCUGAGAGGAUGAUCAGCCACACUGGAACUGAGACACGGUCCAGACUCCUACGGGAGGCAGCAGUGGGGAAUAUUGGACAAUGGGCGCAAGCCUGCUCCAGCCCUCCCGCGUGCGCGAAGAAGGCCUUCAGGUUGUAAAGCCCUUUUGUUGGGAAAGACAACCAGCAAGUUAAUACCCAGCUGUUCUGACGGUACCCAAAGAAUAAGCACCGGCUCACUUCGUG